rnacentral:rRNA from 1 species
GGGUGCGACCAUACCAGCACUAACGCACCGGAUCCCAUCCGAACUCCGAAGUUAAGCGUGCUUGGGCGAGAGUAGUACUAGGAUGGGUGACACCCUGGGAAGCCCUCGUGUUGCACCCC